AGUGAGCAGAUUUAGUGUGGAAAAGUAAAAAACAUGGCGGUUUUCUAUCAUAUUAGAGAAACAUGUGCUGAAAACGAAUUUGCACGAAGAAUCAUUCUUUUUUUUGAAACCCUAUGUUGGGUAAAUUUCAUUUUGCAUACCGCUGUCUGAAAGACUUUUCUAUAGAAAAUGUCUCAUAUCCACUAGGAAAUUUUUAAUUUGUUGAAAUAAGGCAAGUAAAGGUGUAGAUUAUGAAGAAGAAAGCAUGUGUCUCAGUUUGAUUAGUGGAAAGAAUAAGUGAAACUUUUCUUGAAAAAGAAUUUAACAGU
rnacentral:rRNA from 1 species